rnacentral:rRNA from 1 species
UACGAAGGGUGCAAACGUUGCUCGGAAUUAUUGGGCGUAAAGGGCGCGUAGGCGGCGCAACAAGUCACUUGUGAAAUCUCCGGGCUUAACCCGGAGCGGCCAAGUGAUACUGUCGUGCUAGAGUGCGGAAGGGGCUACUGGAAUUCUCGGUGUAGCGGUGAAAUGCGUAGAUAUCGAGAGGAACACCUGCGGCGAAGGCGGGUAGCUGGGCCGACACUGACGCUGAGGCGCGAAAGCCAGGGGAGCGAACGGG